AGAGUUUGAUCAUGGCUCAGGACGAACGCUGGCGGCGUGCCUAAUACAUGCAAGUCGAGCGAAGGAUAGGCCUCAAAUCUUCGGAUGCGAAGCCUAUCACUGAGCGGCGAACGGGUGAGUAACGCGUGGGCAACCUGCCCCCCAGACUGGGAUAACAGCUCGAAAGGGCUGCUAAUACCGGAUACGCCUCAAAUUCCGCAUGGGAUUUGAGUGAAAGCGGUUAGCGCUGGGGGAUGGGCCCGCGUCCCAUUAGCUAGUUGGUGAGGUAAUGGCUCACCAAGGCGACGAUCAGUAGCCGACCUGAGAGGGUGAUCGGCCACACUGGAACUGAGACACGGCCCAGACUCCUACGGGAGGCAGCAGUAGGGAAUCUUCCGCAAUGGGCGAAAGCCUGACGGAGCAACGCCGCGUGAGCGAUGAAGGUCUUCGGAUCGUAAAGCUCUGUCCUUGGGGAAGAAGGCGAAAGCUUGACGGUACCCAAGAAGAAAGCCCCGGCUAACUACGUGCCAGCAGCCGCGGUA
rnacentral:rRNA from 1 species